rnacentral:rRNA from 1 species
CCGUUGCGACUGCGGAGGGACAUUACAAAAACGAGUUGCGAGACUCGAAAACCAUCGCGAACAUUACCUCGUCGUCGUUGCUUCGGCGGGCGGCCCCGUACGCGGGGCCGCGAGCCCGCCGGAGGCACGCAACACUCUGUUUUUCUUAGCGCAUCUCUGAGUGGAUACAGCGAAAUUAAGUCAAAACUUUCAACAACGGAUCUCUUGGUUCUGGCAUCGAUGAAGAACGCAGCGAAAUGCGAUAAGUAAUGUGAAUUGCAGAAUUCAGUGAAUCAUCGAAUCUUUGAACGCACAUUGCGCCCGCCAGUAUUCUGGCGGGCAUGCCUGUUCGAGCGUCAUUUCAACCCCUCAAGCUCCGCUUGGUGUUGGGGCCCUACGUGCGCCGUAGGCCCCGAAUUCCAGUGGCGGGCUCGCCGCGAUCCCGAGCGUAGUAGCAUAGCCUCGCUCCAGGGCGCCGCGGCGGGCGCCGGCCGUGAAAAAAACCCACUGUACCAAAGGUUGACCUCGGAUCAGGUAGGAAUACCCGCUGAACUUAAGCAUACAA